UACAUUCUUUUUUUGUCCUACCCCCUCCCCUGACUAAAGAAGGGUAUCGACCUGAAACAUCACCAAUUCCUUCUCUCCAUAGAUGCUGCCUCACCCGCUGAGUUUCUCUAGCAUUUUGUGUCUACUGGCCACUCCCAUUUCUCCCCUCCUGCCUGCCUCCAUUAACAUUCCUCUGGCUUCACCAUUUGCAAUUAAAAUCCUCUUCAGUCUCACACCAGCGUUUAGCAGCUACAGGCCCGUAUGAAGGAUGGGGACAGGCGGGGUCGGCAGAGAGCUGUGGAGAGACUGGCUGCCGACAAGACCAAGCCCUUGAAGAGCCAGACAGCGAGGUGGUGCAAAGUGGAGCCCAAUGGUUUGGGGCAGCUCUGCCUCCGAGUAAGGCAGCAACCACGAGCAGCACUCCAGGGUUCACAAUCAACCACACCAGCAGCACUCCAGGGUUCCAACCACAUGAGCAGCACCCAGUACUCCAACAUUCCAGCAGGCCAAGGAGAAACAGCAGCCUCGCCAGCAGCAGCCCACGGUGCACAAUAACUGCACAAUAACUAACUGCAAAGUACACCAGCAGCACCCAGCACUCCAGCACUGCUCCUAUAGGGCGGCACGGUGGCGCAGCAGUAGAGAUGCUGCCUCACAGCACCAGAGACUCAGGAUCAAUCCUGACUACAGGUGCUGUCUGCACGGAGUUUGUGCGUUCUCCCUGUGACCACGUGGGAUUUCUCCGGGCACUCCGGUUUCCUCCCACAUUCCAAAGAUGUACAGGUGCACAUCCUGGAAAGAGGAAAGAUUUGAGGAAAAUAUAAAACUUCCUCCUUUCUCCCGGAUCGAACCCGGGUCUCUGGCACUGUGAGGCAGCAGCUCUACCAGUUGUGCCACUGUGCUGCCCUUAGGACAAGCCAUCAAAGGAAAAAGAGAAUGAUUAAAAUGGAAAGCUGGACUCAGUCUUCAAAACUGUUCAUAUUCACAAUUUUGCUAAGUUAUGUCAUGAGUCCAGCUUUAAAAUGUUGCACCCUUGUAUCUACCUGCAGUGCUGCAAACUAGACCACAAGGUGAUGCUUUAAGCAAACAUUUGACUGUAACAUCAUUAACUUGAAAUUCAAUUAAACAUUAUGAACAAGAACAAUUUUGGUUUCAUCCUCUGCGUGACUUGCAUACAUUUCACA